rnacentral:tRNA from 1 species
CAGAAGAUAAUUUAUUAAAAUAUAAACUUUGGGUGUUUAAAAUGAUUUAAGGUCUCUUCUGA